GCCAGUGGAGAUGCUGCCUACUGCAGUGUGGAGAAUGGAUUGGAGGGGUCAGAAUGAAUGUAGAGAGAAUUCAAAGGCUCCUGCAGGAGUCCAAGCAAGAGGAUUGCAGAUUGUAGCCUGGAAGAGGCCAGUAGCUGUGGUGACAAUGGACACCAGGUGGAUAUGUUGGAGAGACACUUAGAAGGGUCUCACUCUGUCACCCAGACUGGAGUACACUGGUGUGAUCUCGGCUCACUGCAACCUCCGCCUCCCAGGCUCAAGUGAUUCUCCUGCCUCAGCCUCUCGAGUAGCUGGAAUUACAAGCAUGUGCCACUACCACCCUGCUAAUUUUUGUAUUUUUAGUAGAGAUGCGGUUUCACCAUGUUGGCCAGGCUGGCCUUGAACUCAUGACCUUAAAUGAUCCACCCGCCUCAGCCUCCCAAGUGCUGGGAUUUUAGGUGUGAGCCACUCGCCUGGCAGAAAGACUGUCUUCUGAAAAGGACUUUUGGGAGUGAAAUAACAUCAGCUCUAAGUGACUCAUGUGCCUAUAUCCACCUGGUUGGUGGUGAAGAGGAGUUGAAAGGAAUGAAGGAUUCUAGGACAGAAGGUUCCUAUUGAGAAGACACUUUCGGCUAUAACCACUGUUACGUGUGUGUAAUUUAUUCAACACUACUGUGUAUAUAACGGACAAACAAAUCAUAUUUAAAACAUCAUCUAGUCUUUUUAGAUGUUUAGAAGUGCACAAAGUAUGUUAAAAGUAGAGGUAAAUAACACAUUUUGUAGAUAUCCUUUUGAUGUGAAAUAUUGUCUUUUGGAAAUUGAGCAAACCAAUUCCCUGAGCCGUACACAUUAUUAUAUCUGUGUCAGUUUGGGGAGGAAGGAGGAGCAGAAAGUACAAAGGGCUUUUCACCAGUGUGUUUAUGGUGAGGCACAUUGACUAUUAUCUUUUUUUUUUUUUUUUUGAGACGACGUCUCGCUCUGUCACCAAGCUGGGGUGCAGUGGCGCAAUCUUGGCUCUCUGCAACCUCUGCCUCCUGUAUUCAAGCGAUUCUCCUGCCUCAGCCUCCAGAGUACCUGGGACUACAGGUGUGCACCACCACACCCAGCUAAUUUUUGUAUUUUUAGUAGAGAAGGAGUUUCACCAUGUUUGCCAGGAUGGUCUUGAUCUAAGUCUGCAUUUUCUUUGUGCUGUGUAGAUAGCGUACAUAAGAGGACAAACCAAUCCUAAUCUAUAUCAUCUAGUCUUUGUAGAUGUUAGAGAGGUCCAGUGCGUGACAAAAGUAGAUUUAGUGAAUUAAAACACUGAGUACGUUUUGUGUUAAAAUUCAUAGGGAAGACUGUUGUUAAAAACAUAGAAGUGGGCAGGGCACGGUGGCUCACGCCUGUAAUCCCAGCACUUUGGGAGGCUGAGGUGGGCAGAUCACUUGUGGUCAGGAGUUCAAGACCAGCCUGACCAAUAUGAUGAAAUCCUGUGUCUACUAAAAAUACAAAAAUUAGCUGGGCAUGGCAGCGGGCACCUGUAAUCCCAGGUACUUGGGAGGCUGAGGCAGGAGAAUUGCUUGAACCCUGGAGGCAGAGGUUGUUAGAAUCCUUUCUACACAAUACAUUUGGCUUAUAGCUGUCCACAGGGUGGACAGAGGUUGGAACGGGAAGGGUUCUAGGCCAAAAUGUUCAGGGGAGGGGUGCUAGGCCAGAAUGUUCGUAUUUAGAAGACACUUUCAAAUUACAGUCUAUGUUAUGUAUAUGCACCAUUUAUUCAAUGCUACUAUGUAUAUAGUGGAAAACCUAAGUCCUCUUUGAAACAUCUAGUCUUUCUAAAUGUUUAAAAGUGCACAACAUAGGUUAGAAGUAGAGGGCUAAAGUGACACCCUUUAAGCAUUUUCUUUAUUACUUUUUAGGAGUGUUUGCAUUUGGAAAUGGAAUGGUUAAACUUGAUGCUUUGGACUGUUCAUAGGGUGAUGGUGGGUGUAGGAGGAGGAAGUAUGCAAAGGGAAGGGUUCUGUGCCCAAGAGUUAGAUUAGUUCACAUGAUCUAACCAUUGUUCUAUAUGCAUUUUAGUUAAUAGUGUUUUGUUUUUUAUUUUUGAUGGAGUUUUGCUCUUGUUGCCCAGGUUGGAGUGCAAUGGUGUGAUCUAGGCUCACUGCAACCUCUGCCUCCUGGGUUCAAGUGGUUCUCCUGCCUCAGCCUCCUGAGUAGCUAGGAUUAUAGGCACACACCACCACACCUGGCUAAUUUUUUUGGUAAUUUUUAGUAGAUUCGGUGUUUCACCAUGUUGGCCGGGCUUGUCUUGAACUCCUGACCUCAGGUGAUCCACCCACCUCAGCCUCCCAAAGUGCUGGGAUUACAGGUGUGAGCCACCGCACCUGGCCAAUAGUGGGUAUUAAAAGAUAAACAAGUCUUAAUGCUCAAAGUAUGUUAAAAAUAGAUGUAGUAAAACAAUCCGUCUACAAAUGUUCUUUUGUUAUAUUUUAGGAGGCCUGUCUUCUGGGAGUGACCUUUGUUAUUCCACCUCUUGGAGCUAGGCAUAGUCCUAUACCUAGUCACUGGGAUGGUGGAAGAGGGAGAAAAGGAAGGAUGAAGGAAAGAGCUAUUUGCUAGUAUCUCCACAUCUAGAAGAUGGUUUUAGAUGAUAACCAUAGGUCUACAUGAGCAUUUUUAGUAAAGUGCUUGUGUGUAAUUCUGGACAAAGUUUAUUAUUUUGCACUAUCUAAGCUUUAUGAAUGUCCUGGGGUGAUAAUGUGUGAUAAAAAGUAGAACUAGUGAAUUAGCCAAUUUGUAAAUUUUUUCUUGUUAUAAUUUAUAGAAAAGAUGCAACUUGGACAUGGAACUGUUAAACCAUCUCUGAGCUUUGUAUGCCAGGACUUGUUCAUUAGGUUGGCAGCAGAGCAGCAAAAGGAAGUAUAAAGAGAGAGAUGUAUGCAGAUGUGUCGAUAUUUACAUUUUGAUGAUAGCCAUUGUUGUAUGUGCAUCUCUUUUAGCUGUACUAUAGGAAUACAUUAGGUAUUUCAAUGAAAACAUACCUUGCUAAUAUUUGAAUAGUAUAGAUCUGCUAAUGGAUUCUCUUAGAAACAUUAUACUUAGUGUAUUCUAUUGCUGUAUAUUUCAUUUUAAAGUGAGCACUAAAGGAAUGCGGUAUUUUAAUAAAAACUCUGCCAACGCUUUUACUUAGAGGCGUGUUGCCAAUUUUUGUCUUUUAUGAAAAUUUGGCCCAAGAAAGGCAGGAUUACAUUGUUUUUCCAACAGAUUGAGUGGGUGUAGUGUAUUCUUGAUGAUCAAAAUACUCAUAUAGCUUUGAGAUUUUGAAUUGGUAAAUACUCAAGAUGUGUGAAAAAGCAUGAUACAUACUAUAUGAUCUCAGUCCCAUAAAAUUGACUAUUGUAUCUACACCCACACAGGACCUAGAAGGACAUGUUAAACUGUAAACUGCUUGUGAUUGUGGAUGACCUUUUUCGUUGCUUCUUGUGUUUUUCAGUUUCCUAUAAUGCACAUAGUAACUUAAAAAAAUAAAGAUUAUUUUUGAAACCUAAAAAAAAGAGGUUACAGAAUUGAAUACUCCCUGAGAUAAGGUAAAAUCAUCUUAUGCUAACGGUUGCAAGAUAAUGGUAUAAGUAAGCUUUCGUCGUACAUAUCAAUGAACUUUAAGAUUUGGAAGACAAAAUUCAGUUUAUGUAUUCAAUUAAAUGUGCUCAGAUUGUAUUGUGCUAGAUAGGCACAUUAUUCUAACAUAAUAUGAAUGAAUCAAUAAAAUCCUUAUAAUACUGAUG
rnacentral:lncRNA from 10 species